UAGGGAAUCUUCCGCAAUGGACGCAAGUCUGACGGAGCAACGCCGCGUGAGUGAAGAAGGAUUUCGGUUCGUAAAACUCUGUUGUUAGAGAAGAACAGCGCAUAGAGUAACUGUUAUGCGUGUGACGGUAUCUAACCAGAAAGCCACGGCUAACUACGUGCCAGCAGCCGCGGUAAUACGUAGGUGGCAAGCGUUGUCCGGAUUUAUUGGGCGUAAAGCGAGUGCAGGCGGUCAAUUAAGUCUGAUGUGAAAGCCCCCGGCUCAACCGGGGAGGGUCAUUGGAAACUGGUUGACUUGAGUGCAGAAGAGGAGAGUGGAAUUCCAUGUGUAGCGGUGAAAUGCGUAGAUAUAUGGAGGAACACCAGUGGCGAAGGCGACUCUCUGGUCUGUACCUGACGCUGAGGCUCGAAAGCGUGGGUAGCAAACAGG
rnacentral:rRNA from 1 species